rnacentral:rRNA from 1 species
GCUUUCCCUUCGGGGCAGAUGUGUAGGUGCUGCAUGGUUGUCGUCAGCUCGUGCCGUGAGGUGUCGGCUUAAGUGCCAUAACGAGCGCAACCCUCAUCAUUAGUUACCAUCAGGUUAAGCUGGGGACUCUAAUGAGACUGCCAUCGUAAGAUGCGAGGAAGGUGGGGAUGACGUCAAAUCAGCACGGCCCUUACGUCCGGGGCGACACACGUGUUACAAUGGGUGGUACAAAGGGCAGCUACCUGGCGAGAGCAAGCGGACCUCAUAAAGUGCGUCGUAGUCCGGAUUGGAGUCUGCAACUCGACUCCAUGAAGUCGGAAUCGCUAGUAAUCGUGGAUCAGAAUGCCACGGUGAAUACGUUCCCGGGCCUU